rnacentral:rRNA from 1 species
ACGGAAGGCAGCAGUGGGGAAUAUUGGGCAAUGGGCGAAAGCCUGACCCAGCAACGCCGCGUGAAGGAAGACGGUCUUCGGAUUGUAAACUUCUUUUAUGAUGGACGAAGGACGUGACGGUACCUCAUGAAUAAGCCACGGCUAACUACGUGCCAGCAGCCGCGGUAAUACGUAGGUGGCAAGCGUUAUCCGGAUUUACUGGGUUUAAAGGGCGCGUAGGCGGGGAUGCAAGUCAGAUGUGAAAUCUAUGGGCUUAACCCAUAAACUGCCUUUGAAACUGUAUUUCUUGAGUGCUAGAGAGGUAGAUGGAAUUCGUUGUGUAGCGGUGAAAUGCGUAGAUAUAAGGCAGAACACCAGUGGCGAAGGCGAUCUACUGGACAGUAACUGACGCUGAGGCGCGAAAGCGUGGGGAGCGAACAGGAUUAGAUACCCUGGUA